UGGCUUCCUGCACCUGGUGACGCUUGGCGAAACUGAGGUCUCAUGGAGAAGCCCCGGAGUAUUGAGGAGACCCCAUCUUCAGAGCCAAUGGAGGAAGAGGAAGAUGACGACUUGGAGCUGUUUGGUGGCUAUGAUAGUUUCCGGAGUUAUAACAGCAGUGUGGGCAGUGACAGCAGCUCCUAUCUGGAGGAGUCAAGUGAAGCAGAAAAUGAGGAUCGGGAAGCAGGGGAACUGCCGACCUCCCCGCUGCAUUUGCUCAGCCCUGGGACUCCUCGCUCCUUGGAUGGCAGUGGUUCUGAGCCAGCUGUCUGUGAGAUGUGUGGUAUCGUGGGUACAAGGGAAGCCUUCUUCUCCAAGACCAAGAGGUUCUGCAGCGUCUCCUGCUCCAGGAGCUACUCCUCCAACUCCAAGAAAGCCAGUAUCUUGGCUAGAUUACAGGGAAAACCACCGACCAAAAAAGCCAAAGUCCUGCACAAGGCUGCCUGGUCUGCCAAAAUUGGAGCCUUCCUCCACUCUCAAGGGACAGGACAGCUGGCAGAUGGGACACCAACAGGACAAGACGCUCUGGUCUUGGGCUUCGACUGGGGGAAGUUCCUGAAGGAUCACAGUUACAAGGCUGCUCCCGUCAGCUGUUUCAAGCACGUGAGUGCCCUGGAGCUGAGGGAGGGAGGCCGGGGAGCCGGGCAUGGAGCUGCUCCUCCACCUGCUUCACCAGGGCGGCUUCAGGCUGGACAGUGACAGUGGGGAGGUCUGGGCAGGAGACGGAUGGCGUUACCACUCGCUCCAUUUCAUGUUUAUGUCAAAAAAAUCCUCCUACAAACACUUCUAUCACCUGCUUGGCUUCACUCCCAGUCUGAAGCCCUUCAGUUUAUUUACAUAAUAGAACUUGGUGCUAGCUGAUGUCGAAGGGUCUUUGCAGUCUGAAACCCUUCUCUCCUUUCUCCCCCAUUUGCAGCAUUUUCCCAUGGAAAGCAGGGUGCUUCUGUAGCUGGCCUGGGCCCCGUGGGCCCCGAGAGGCAGAUGUGGAUGCUCCUGGAGCCACUUCUGUAAAAGGCUCCUCGAUGCGGAUCAUGUAAAAGCCAGAACGAAGGGCAAGGCCCUUAGGGGCGGGGCUUGAGCGCAAGAACCGAAUAUCCAGCAGCUGUGACGUGUGGAGCCUGCAGGCCGGGAGAGCAGAGCCCACAACAGCACUCUUGUUUUGUCUUCACACCACGUCCCUAAGCUCCGGGAAAUCCAGGAGGAGGCCUCUUUAGUCUUGAGGAAGUAGGGAGUCUUUUACCCAGAGUAAGCCACUUCCUCUCCUCCUUUCAGAACUGCCACUGAACUCUGGGGAGUGCCCUGAACAAUGACAGCUGCUUCUUGACUCAGCUAACUCACUCCUCUCGUCUCUGAAUGGUUAAUGAAGGUGCACCUCCUUCCUGCUGGAGGGGGAGCCUCUUUUUUGCCCUGAAUUCUCUAAUAGUUUCAGCAUUUUCAUUUCCAGGGAGUUGCAUCAUACUUGUGUCUAACACAUAUAAUCCAAUUUGCUUUGUAAAAAGCCUGCCCCUGGGUGCCUGGGCUAGCGCAACUGUGUCCGGGUUCUGUGAUGAACUAAACUCAAGUGACCAGGGAGAUGGAAUGGGAUACCUCAACUGGCUGAAGCCAGGGCUGAGAAUAAAAAAGGUGAAUUUGGCCAGGCGCAGUGGCUUACCCCUGGAAUCCCAGCACUUUGGGAGGCCGAGGCGGGUGGAUCACCUGAGGUGAGGAGUUCGAGACCAGCCUGGCCAACAUGGUGAAACCCCAUCUCUACUAAAAAUACAAAAAUUAGCUGGAAGUGGUGGCGGGCACCUGUAAUCCCAGCUACUUGGGAGGCCGAGACAGGAGAAUCCCUUGAACCUGAGAGGCAGAGGUUGUAAUGAGCUGAGAUUGCGCCACUGCACUCCAGCCUGGGUGACGGAGCAAGACUCUAAAAAAAGUGAUUCUCCCAAAGGAGAAUCAAAAGUACCAUUGGCAGGAAAGUGAGGAUUAGGUACUGGGAAGGCAACUGAAACAGUCCAGUGCUGUCCUGGGGCACUUUAUUUUAUUUUAUUUUUUCGAUAUGGGAGUUUCACUCUUGUUGCCCAGAGCUGGAGUGCAAUGGCACUAUCUCGGCUCACAGCAGCCUCCCCCUCCCAGGUUCAAGCGAUUCUCCUGCCUCAGCCUCCGGAGUAGCUGGGAUUACAGGCAUGUGCCACCACCACGCCCGGCUAAUUUUGUAUUUUUAGUAGAGACAGGGAUUCUCCAUGUUGGUCAGACUGGUCUCGAACUCCCAGCCUCAGGUGAUCCGCCCGUCUCGGCCUCCCAAAGUGCUGGGAUUACAGGCGUGAGCCACCAUGCCUGGCCCCCUGGAGCAUUUCAGUAGGAGGGGAGGUAGAGAGUAAACUUGCAGGUGGAUGGCUGUGUGUAAACGAGGGGGUCAUAAUGCCCACAGCCCAGGUUUGCAUGAUGAUUGAAGGAAAGUAUAUUUGUGCUAAUAUCAGCGCCCUGCCAUUGCUCGGGCUGGCACAGGGACGAAGGGAUCGAGGCUCACCAAGGCAUCAUGUGCCCAAAAUGAUACAGUAAGAAACCAGUCCUAUAAAGAUUUUAGGACUCGGUUCUGUCUGACUCUGGGUCUCUAGCCAUCACCCUGCAUCCCACCACCUCUACCUCUACUCCCGGCUUAGCUCUUCAAGGACAGGAGACCUCAUCUCUUUAUCUCUAGUGGCUGGUUCUGCACACAGUGGGUGAUGUGAAAAGUUGAGGUGCAAACGAGGACUUGACUGAGGCCGUGAGGCAGUCUGUCUCCCCUGCUAGCACAGUUAGCUCACUCUCUCGGUACACUCUCAUCGCCACACAGGUCCCACUCUAUGACCAGUGGGAGGAUGUGAUGAAAGGGAUGAAGGUGGAGGUGCUCAACAGUGAUGCUGUGCUCCCCAGCCGGGUGUACUGGAUCGCCUCUGUCAUCCAGACAGCAGGGUAUCGGGUGCUGCUUCGGUACGAAGGCUUUGAAAAUGACGCCAGCCAUGACUUCUGGUGCAACCUGGGAACAGUGGAUGUCCACCCCAUUGGCUGGUGUGCCAUCAACAGCAAGAUCCUAGUGCCCCCACGGACCAUCCAUGCCAAGUUCACCGACUGGAAGGGCUACCUCAUGAAACGGCUGGUGGGCUCCAGGACGCUUCCCGUGGAUUUCCACAUCAAGAUGGUGGAGAGCAUGAAGUACCCCUUUAGGCAGGGCAUGCGGCUGGAAGUGGUGGACAAGUCCCAGGUGUCACGCACUCGCAUGGCUGUGGUGGACACAGUAAUCGGGGGUCGCCUACGGCUCCUCUACGAGGAUGGUGACAGUGACGACGACUUCUGGUGCCACAUGUGGAGCCCCCUGAUCCACCCAGUGGGUUGGUCACGACGUGUGGGCCACGGCAUCAAGAUGUCAGAGAGGCGAAGUGACAUGGCCCAUCACCCCACCUUCCGGAAGAUCUACUGUGAUGCCGUUCCUUACCUCUUCAAGAAGGUACGAGCAGUCUACACAGAAGGCGGUUGGUUUGAGGAAGGGAUGAAGCUGGAGGCCAUUGACCCCCUGAAUCUGGGCAACAUCUGCGUGGCAACUGUCUGUAAGGUUCUCCUGGAUGGAUACCUGAUGAUCUGUGUGGACGGGGGGCCCUCCACAGAUGGCUCGGACUGGUUCUGCUACCAUGCCUCUUCCCACGCCAUCUUCCCGGCCACCUUCUGUCAGAAGAAUGACAUUGAGCUCACACCGCCAAAAGGUUAUGAGGCACAGACUUUCAACUGGGAGAACUACUUGGAGAAGACCAAGUCGAAAGCCGCUCCAUCGAGACUCUUUAACAUGGAUUGCCCAAACCAUGGCUUCAAGGUGGGCAUGAAGCUGGAGGCCGUGGACCUGAUGGAGCCCCGGCUCAUCUGUGUGGCCACGGUGAAACGAGUGGUGCAUCGGCUCCUCAGCAUCCACUUUGACGGCUGGGACAGCGAGUACGACCAGUGGGUGGACUGCGAGUCCCCAGACAUCUACCCCGUCGGCUGGUGUGAGCUCACCGGCUACCAGCUCCAGCCUCCUGUGGCCGCAGGUGUGGGCUCUCGUGGCCCUAAGAGGCUCCGACUUUCUUUCCUCUUCUUUUUUCCUUCUUCCCCCGCCCCUGUGCCCAUCUCCGUUCUUUGGCAUGAGGUGGAGAUGUCUCAUGGACCACUCUAAGUAGAGAGUGAGCCCCGUCACCCAGCCCCUGCUCCUGACUUCUCUGUCUCCCUUUCCCUCUGGCCUGCAGAGCUCCUUCCUUCAUCUUGCCCACUCUGUCAUAUGUUCGUGCCCUUGGUAAACUACCCAGGUCCCUCUGAGCAGCCCUGGUGACAAGGGUGGGAAGAAGGGACAGCUGUUCUCCGGCCCCUCCUCCAGCCCCACCCUCUCCUCAUUGCCCAGCUUUGGCUUCCUGUCUUGGGGUGUCUCGUGUGGGAGGGUGGAUGGGGUCUCGGGAUGUGCCUGUGCCCUGUGUCCUCCCAGGGACCCUCUUCUCAUCUCUUUCACCCUUGUCUUUCAACAACAGAACCGGCCACACCGCUGAAGGCCAAAGAGGCCACAAAGAAGAAAAAGAAACAGUUUGGGAAGAAAAGGAAAAGAAUCCCGCCCACCAAGACACGACCCCUCAGACAGGGGUCCAAGAAGCCCCUGCUGGAGGACGACCCUCAGGGUGCCAGGAAGAUCUCGUCGGAGCCUGUUCCUGGCGAGAUCAUUGCUGUGCGUGUGAAGGAAGAGCAUCUAGACGUGGCCUCGCCCGACAAGGCUUCAAGUCCAGAGCUGCCUGUCUCCGUCGAGAACAUCAAGCAGGAAACAGACGACUGAGCCUUCCUGCCUCCAGCCUGGCUUCUAGCUGGAAGCCAGCCCAGGGUUUCUCUACCACCACCACCAUGCCUCCACCUGACUUUGGCUUGGAGACUGAUCCUCUCUGUGUAAAUUCUGCCCGGUGCUGUGAAGGCUGGACGGUGGAGGACCUGCUGGGGUCUCCUGGGACCCGCCUGUUGCUUCUGCCCUCCCCUGUGGAAAGGCCUAUAUGACGGGCCGCCAGAGGCCCUGGAACUCGUCUGUGAACCACCUUCUCCAGCCAGAGUUCCCAAAGCUGGAACGCUAGCUGCCUGCUCUUCCUUAAGAUGGCCUCCCCCCGACCCGCCACGGCCCUCAGUUGCCAGGGAUGGGGCCACCACUGUCACACUGUGGAACACAAGACAGUGAACUCUGUCUGCCUGAACGAGUCAUGUAAAUUAAGUUCUAGAGCAGCUCUCUGAGCAGGAUAAGGUCCCCUGACAGUGAGUUGUGUGGUGGGGGCAGCCUCUGCCUCAAAAAUUCACCAAGCAGAAUGCCUCUCAGCCUCAUGUGUUGGUCCUCUGCUCCUCCUAGCUCCCCAGGGAUGUUGGGGACCCAGCUUGUCUCGGCAGCUAAGAAGCAGUGACCAGGAUGUGGAUUUUGGCGAACUGUGUGGUGGCCUUGAGCUGCUUUCUGUGUUUGUGAGGACUGACUCCCAUUUCCUAAAGGAAAUGCCCCCGGGGAGGACAUUGGGAGGAAGAUGGCCUGAGUGUGCACUUUGGCUCUGCUACCUGCUCCUGAAGCCCCGCUAAAAAUAAUUCAUCCAAGAUUCCUUUGUAGUUAAAGGGUCCAGUUCCGACUGGAGCCUCUGGAGGGAGAGCUGGGCUUGUAUGUUCUUUUGGCCUUUUGUUCCUACCUAAAUGAAGAAACCAUGCCUGGAGGGGCCGUGAACACAGAACCCUCAAGACAAGGAUGACAGAGCUGGAGGACACAUCUAGCUGCCAUUGCAACCUCACUGGGCUCCCCAGACUUUGUGUAUGAGAAAUUAAAUCCCCUACUUGCUUG
rnacentral:sRNA from 1 species